rnacentral:rRNA from 1 species
AGUCUGGUGCCAGCACCCGCGGUAUUCCAGCUCCAAAAGCAUAUACUAAAAUUGCUGUAGUUAAAACGCUCGUAGUUUAUACAAGGGAUGCAAUUUGUAUGUUUCAGACUAUUGCUAGUUGCUGGCAAAUUCGUUUAUCGAUUAGUUAGUAACCAAGCGUAGUCUUUGCUUGGUUUUCCAAGUAAGCACGUUAGUGCCAAGGGUUUUGGGUCUCUUCUUACCAAAAAGUCUUGGCAUGUGUGGGGCAUAGAUUGCGUUCUGAUUCGAACCGUGAACAAAUUAAAGUGUUUAAAGCGGGCAUUGUACGUUCUUUGAACGUUUUGCUUGAAUAAUUUAGCAUGGGACUCAUUUUCCUUGCAAAAGGAUAAGAAAAAGGAGCCAGGAAGAGGACUCUGGUAUUGCGCGUUUAGAGGUGAAAUUCCGACAUCUUCGCAGGACGAACGGAGGCGUAGGCUGUCAUUGCCCAUCACAUCUCUAUUGAUCAGGAACGAAAGUCAGGGGAUCGAAGAUGAUUAGAUACCGUCGUAGUCCUGACCGUAAACGAUACUAACUCGAGUUUGUAUGUAACAGUUUUUCAAAAAUUGAUACAGAAUCCAAGGGAAACCGUUAAGUCUUUGGGUUCUGGGGGGAGUAUAGUCGCAAGGCCGAAACUUAAAGGAAUUGACGGAAAGACACCACUAGGAGGGGAGUUUGCGGCUUAAUUCGACCCAACGCGGGAAAACUCACCAGGAUAGGACAGAAUGAGGAUUGACAGGUUGAAUAUGGUCCUUUCUUGAUUUUUUGGAAGGUGGUGCAUGGCCGUCCUUAGUUCGUGGAGUGAUCUGUCUACUUAAUUGUGUUAACGAACGAGACCUUAACCUGUUAACUAGGCACUAGUUGAAUUUUAUUCAUGGGUUUCUUACGAAAUCUAGGUCAUUCGGGUUUUACCCGAGCUUCUUAAAGGGACAAUACUGUGUAUUUUAUAUUUUAGCGUAGGGAAGUUUAAGGCAAUAACAGGUCUGUGAUGCCCUGAGAUAUCCUGGGCGGCACGCGUACUACAAUGUCAUUGACAACAGGCUUUCCGCUUCGGCGGGCCUCUACCAAAAUGUAGGGGAGAACGUGUCAAACACUUAUAUGACUGGGAUAACUGUUUGUAAUUACAUCUUAAACGAGGAAUUCCUAGUAAGCGCAAGUCAUCAUCUUGCAUUGAUUACGUCCCUGUCUUUUGUACACACCGCCCGUCGCUCCUACCGAUUGGAUAGCAAGGUGAACUUGAUGGACUCUAACAAGAAAAUUUAUUAAACCUUUCCAUCUCUA